GGGCCAGUAGCUCAGUCGGUCAGAGCAGCGGACUCAUAAUCCGUCGGUCGUGGGUUCGAGCCCCACCUGGCCCACCG
rnacentral:tRNA from 1 species